AUGUGAAUUUAGGAAUCUACUAUAGAUUAAGUGCACUUAUGUUGUGCAAUUUAAAAUGUGUACUUUGUGUCUAACGUGAAUGAAUGUUUUGUCAGGGAUUAUCUACCUGAUCUACUGAAAUUAGAUAAUUGAACAAGAAAAACAAGAAAAUAUGUUUUACAGAAUAAAGUGCCAGAACUGUCAAGAAAAUAACUUUUGUUAUUUUAACGUCAACAGUGAGGACAAACCCAGCCUGCCUCUCUGCUUCCACACUGAGUAGAAACCUACAGUCACUGGGUCCUGAUUGUGACAGUGGAGCCCAGGUUUCACUGCAGGAUCCAGAGAUGGCAUCAGUGAAGCUGGAAGACUGCAGUCAAACACUGGAGCUGAAUGUCAACAUUAAAGAUGAAGAUGAGAACAUUAGGACAACUGUUAGUCAUGCACAUUCUGCCUCAUGGUGCUGUUGAGUUUGGGACGAUUCAGCAAACCAUCCUAAAAUCUCGUAAGAAAGAUACCAUGUUGAGACAUUCUCCACAUCCAGAGAGCAACAGCAGGAAGAUCAGAGAGCUAAGAGGUCUCAUCACUGCCCACAUUGUGAAGAGAUUUUCCCAUUUCUAUCAAAGCUAAAAAUACACCUAAAAAUACA